rnacentral:rRNA from 1 species
GACGAACGCUGGCGGCGUGCCUAAUACAUGCAAGUCGAGCGCUGAAGGUUGGUUCUUGUACCAACUGGGUGAGCAGCGCACGGGUGAGUAACGCGUGGGGAAUCUCCCUUUGAGCGGGGGACAACAUUUGGAAACGAAUGCUAAUACCGCAUAAAAACAUCAAACACAAGAUUUAAGUUUGAAAGAUGCAAUUGCAUCACUCAAAGUAGAUCCCGCGUUGUAUUAGCUAGUUGGUGAGGGAAAGGCUCACCAAGGCGAUGAUACAUAGCCGACCUGAGAGGAUGAUCAGCCGCAGUGGGAAGGAGACAAGGCGCAAACUCGGACGGGAGGCAGCGGUAGGGAAUCUUCGGCAAGCGGCGGAAGUCUGACCGAGGAAAGCCGCGAGAGUGUAGAAGGGUAUCGGAUCGUGAAACUCGGUUGGUAGAGAAGAGCGUUGGGGAGAGUGGAGAGCUCAUCAAGUGACGGUAUCUACGGAGAAAGGGACGGCUAACUACGUG